rnacentral:rRNA from 1 species
CGUGUCGUCAGCUCGUGCUGUGAAGUGUUGGGUUAAGUACCCGCAACGAGCGCAACCCUAUCAUCUGUUGCCAGCAUUUAAGGUGGGGACGUCAGAUGAGACUGCCGGUGACAAACCGGAGGAAGGUGGGGACGACGUCAAGUCAUCAUGGCCCUUAUGUCCUGGGCUACACACGUGCUACAAUGGCCGGUACAGAGUGAAGCGAAACCGCGAGGUGAAGCAAAACGCAGAAAGCCGGUCUCAGUACGGAUUGGAGUCUGAAACUCGACUUCAUGAAGUUGGAAUCGCUAGUAAUCGCGCAUCAGCAUGGCGCGGUGAAUACGUUCCCGGGCCUU